rnacentral:rRNA from 1 species
UCAAGCGAACAAGUGCAUGUGGUGGAUGCCUUGGCGAUCACAGGCGAUGAAGGACGCGGUAGCCUGCGAAAAGCUUCGGGGAGCUGGCAAACAAGCUUUGAUCCGGAGAUGUCCGAAUGGGGAAACCCGGCCCGUAUGGGUCAUCCCUUGCUGAAUACAUAGGCAAGGGAAGCGAACGCGGCGAACUGAAACAUCUAAGUAGCUGCAGGAACAGAAAUCAACCGAGAUUCCCAAAGUAGUGGCGAACGAAAUGGGAAGAGCCUUGUACUCUUUAGCAGUGGUGUUAGCAGAACGGGAUGGAAAGCCCGGCCAUAGCAGGUGAUAGCCCUGUAUGCGAAAACACGAUUGUGGAACUAGGUGUACGACAAGUAGGGCGGGACACGUGAAAUCCUGUCUGAAGAUGGGGGGACCAUCCUCCAAGGCUAAAUACUCGUGAUCGACCGAUAGUGAACCAGUACCGUGAGGGAAAGGCGAAAAGAACCCCGGGAGGGGAGUGAAAUAGAUCCUGAAACCGCAUGCAUACAAACAGUCGGAGCCCUUUCGGGGGUGACGGCGUACCUUUUGUAUAAUGGGUCAGCGACUUACAUUCAGUGGCAAGCUUAACCGGUUAGGGAAGGCGUAGCGAAAGCGAGUCCGAACAGGGCGUUGAGUCGCUGGGUGUAGACCCGAAACCAGAUGAUCUAUCCAUGGCCAGGUUGAAGGUGCGGUAACACGUACUGGAGGACCGAACCCACUAACGUUGAAAAGUUAGGGGAUGAGCUGUGGAUAGGGGUGAAAGGCUAAACAAAUCUGGAAAUAGCUGGUUCUCUCCGAAAACUAUUUAGGUAGUGCCUCGUGUCUCACCUUCGGGGGUAGAGCACUGUCAUGGUUGGGGGGUCUAUUGCUGAUUACCCCGCCAUAGCAAACUCCGAAUACCGAAGAGUGCAAUCACGGGAGACAGACAUCGGGUGCUAACGUCCGGUGUCAAGAGGGAAACAACCCAGACCGCCAGCUAAGGUCCCCAAAUAUGGCUAAGUGGGAAACGAAGUGGGAAGGCUAAAACAGUCAGGAGGUUGGCUUAGAAGCAGCCACCCUUUAAAGAAAGCGUAAUAGCUCACUGAUCGAGUCGUCCUGCGCGGAAGAUGUAACGGGGCUAAGCCAUAUACCGAAGCUGCGGACGCACGCAAGUGCGUGGUAGGAGAGCGUUCUGUAAGCCUGUGAAGGUGUCUUGUAAAGGAUGCUGGAGGUAUCAGAAGUGCGAAUGCUGACAUGAGUAGCGAUAAAGGGGGUGAAAGGCCCCCUCGCCGUAAGCCCAAGGUUUCCUACGCAACGUUCAUCGGCGUAGGGUGAGUCGGCCCCUAAGGCGAGGCAGAGAUGCGUAGCUGAUGGGAAGCAGGUUAAUAUUCCUGCACCGUCGUAUGAUGCGAUGGGGGGACGGAUCGCGGAAGGUUGUCCGGGUGUUGGAAGUCCCGGUCCCUGCAUUGGAGAAGGCGCUUAGGCAAAUCCGGGCGCGGAAUUCAAGGAUGUGGGGCGAGCGGCCUAGUGCUGCGAAGCAAUUGGAAGUGGUUCCAAGAAAAGCCUCUAAGCUUCAGUCAUACGAGACCGUACCGCAAACCGACACAGGUGGGCGAGAUGAGUAUUCUAAGGCGCUUGAGAGAACUCGGGAGAAGGAACUCGGCAAAUUGGUACCGUAACUUCGGGAUAAGGUACGCCCUGGUAGCUUGACUGGCCUGCGCCAGAAGGGUGAAGGGGUUGCAAUAAAAUGGUGGCUGCGACUGUUUAAUAAAAACACAGCACUCUGCAAACACGAAAGUGGACGUAUAGGGUGUGACGCCUGCCCGGUGCCGGAAGAUUAAAUGAUGGGGUGCAAGCUCUUGAUUGAAGUCCCGGUAAACGGCGGCCGUAACUAUAACGGUCCUAAGGUAGCGAAAUUCCUUGUCGGGUAAGUUCCGACCUGCACGAAUGGCGUAACGAUGGCCACACUGUCUCCUCCCGAGACUCAGCGAAGUUGAAGUGUUUGUGAUGAUGCAAUCUCCCCGCGGCUAGACGGAAAGACCCCAUGAACCUUUACUGUAGCUUUGCAUUGGACUUUGAACCGAUCUGUGUAGGAUAGGUGGGAGGCUUUGAAGCGUGGACGCUAGUUCACGUGGAGCCGUCCUUGAAAUACCACCCUGGUUUGUUUGAGGUUCUAACCUUGGCCCGUGAAUCCGGGUCGGGGACAGUGCAUGGUAGGCAGUUUGACUGGGGCGGUCUCCUCCCAAAGUGUAACGGAGGAGUUCGAAGGUACGCUUGGUACGGUCGGACAUCGUACCUAAAGUGCAAUGGCAAAAGCGUGCUUAACUGCGAGACCGACAAGUCGAGCAGGUGCGAAAGCAGGACAUAGUGAUCCGGUGGUUCUGAAUGGAAGGGCCAUCGCUCAACGGAUAAAAGGUACUCUGGGGAUAACAGGCUGAUACCGCCCAAGAGUUCAUAUCGACGGCGGUGUUUGGCACCUCGAUGUCGGCUCAUCUCAUCCUGGGGCUGUAGCCGGUCCCAAGGGUAUGGCUGUUCGCCAUUUAAAGAGGUACGUGAGCUGGGUUUAAAACGUCGUGAGACAGUUUGGUCCCUAUCUGCCGUGGGCGUUGGAAUCUUGACGGGGGCUGCUCCUAGUACGAGAGGACCGGAGUGGACGUACCGCUGGUGUACCUGUUGUCUCGCCAGAGGCAUCGCAGGGUAGCUAUGUACGGAAGAGAUAACCGCUGAAAGCAUCUAAGCGGGAAACUCGCCUGAAGAUGAGGAUUCCCUGGAGGCUUGACCUCCUUGAAGGGUCGUUCGAGACCAGGACGUUGAUAGGCUGGGUGUGGAAGCGCAGUAAUGCGUUAAGCUAACCAGUACUAAUUGCCCGUAAGGCUUGAUCCU